rnacentral:lncRNA from 1 species
UUGAGAUUAGUAUAGGGCUAUACGGACUCGAACCGUAGACCUUCUCGGUAAAACAGAUCGAACUAAUUCUUAUCAAAAUGAUUCGAACUCUUUCAAAGACCCAACAUGCAUUUUUUUUUUUUUUGCAUUGGGCUCUUUCAUUAACUGAUAGAAAUAUCAGUUAGUCUACCAUAUUUUUUUCUUGACAGACAACUAAGGAAAUGGCUCCAUGUGCUCUAAUUCAUUAUUUGGAUUCGGAUAUAGGAGCACUCCCAAAGUGUUUCAAAGAAGGGUUAUCUUGACGUAGGUCUGCUUAUGGCCUAGAUCAACCUAAACGAAAUGGAGUCUCUAUCAUCCUGAUUAAAGAAUCACAUAUGAAACUUCAUACGCCUUAAGGUUCAUAGAACGAAAAGAGAAUUUUUGAGGUCCUUAUACUCAUUAUGCCUAGCAUUGAAUAGACUAGGUAUUUACCUUAUCAAUCUCUCAAAUCGAUGAUGGAUUCUAUUUGGUUCCUAAAAGGGCACCCGAAUCGGACCGAUCCAUUUGUCAGGCUAUUGUUCUCUUGUUUUGUUCCCUACAAGCCACGGAGUCAGACAUUAAUUUCUCAAAAGAUCAAUUCUUUUGAUUGCAUGAUGGACUCCUCUGAAAAACAUUGGCGCACGUGUAAACGAGGUGCUCUACCUAACUGAGCUAUAGCCCUUGUCCUUGUGAUACAUAUUUUAUCAUAUUAUGUAGAUAAUUUCUUGUCAAGAUGAAUAUUCCAUGAUCCCACACCAUAUCUCUUUGAUCUUUUGGAUUGGUAUUGCUUUAGAAGUCCUAUUAGAUUUAUACUCCAUCGAUGGGUAUGUGAUGGGUCUCUUUUUUGUUUUUUUGUUAUAAUGAUAAAUGACCUACUUAACUCAGUGGUUUAGAGUAUUGCUUUCAUACGGCGGGAGUCAUUGGUUCAAAUCCAAUAGUAGGUAGAAAUUAUUAGAUACCAUUGGCCGAUGGUAUCUAAUAAUUUUCUACCUACCUUAUUGGAUUCUGAACAAGAUGACAUAUCCGCCCUGAAUUAUGAAAGCAAAAUACUCUAAACACACUGAGUAUUAUAGAUAGGGUCAUGUUAUCCAUUAAUAACAAAUAUAACAAAAAAGAGACCCAUCACAUCCCAUCGAUGGAGUAUAAAUCUAAUAGGACUUCUAAGCAAUACCAAUCCAAAAGAUCAAAGAGAUAUGGUGUGGGAUCAUGGAAUAUUCAUCUUGACAAGAAAUUAUCUACAUAAUAUGAUAAAAUAUGUAUCACAAGGACAAGGGCUAUAGCUCAGUUAGGUAGAGCACCUCGUUUACACGUGCGCCAAUGUUUUUCAGAGGAGUCCAUCAUGCAAUCAAAAGAAUUGAUCUUUUUGAGAAAUUAAUGUCUGACUCCGUGGCUUGUAGGGAACAAAACAAGAGAACAAUAGCCUGACAAAUGGAUCGGUCCGAUUCGGGUGCCCUUUUAGGAACCAAAUAGAAUCCAUCAUCGAUUUGAGAGAUUGAUAAGGUAAAUACCUAGUCUAUUCAAUGCUAGGCAUAAUGAGUAUAAGGACCUCAAAAAUUCUCUUUUCGUUCUAUGAACCUUAAGGCGUAUGAAGUUUCAUAUGUGAUUCUUUAAUCAGGAUGAUAGAGACUCCAUUUCGUUUAGGUUGAUCUAGGCCAUAAGCAGACCUACGUCAAGAUAACCCUUCUUUGAAACACUUUGGGAGUGCUCCUAUAUCCGAAUCCAAAUAAUGAAUUAGAGCACAUGGAGCCAUUUCCUUAGUUGUCUGUCAAGAAAAAAAUAUGGUAGACUAACUGAUAUUUCUAUCAGUUAAUGAAAGAGCCCAAUGCAAAAAAAAAAAAAUGCAUGUUGGGUCUUUGAAAGAGUUCGAAUCAUUUUGAUAAGAAUUAGUUCGAUCUGUUUUACCGAGAAGGUCUACGGUUCGAGUCCGUAUAGCCCUAUACUAAUCUCAAAUAAUAAUAAUCAAAAUGGAAAUACAGAAACACAAAAAUUGUAUAGUUUUCAUUUCCUCAUUCAUUGUAUUUUUGUUGUUUGUAACUGGUCGCUGGGGGUUGCUUGUGGUUCAUCGAAAUCAAAUCAUUCCCAAAAGCUCGCUCGGAGGGAGCUCGUUCCGAGCAGAACAUCAAACUGAAAUGAAAACUAAAGCGCAUUUCAAUGGAUUUAAUCGCUAUUUUUUUUUUAGAAUCUCGGAUUCGGCUAAACAAACCCAUUUUUCUUUCUUCAAUAAUUAAUAAUAAUAAUCUUCGUAUGGGAAUUCCAUAUGGAUUUGCCUCUUUUCCUGUUCCCAUCACAAUCAAAGAGUUAUUGAUACUUCCUUUCUUUGGUAUACUCACCUACUUUUGGUGAAUUUGCGGAGUCAAAAUCAUGACACGAAUCCGGGGAGACGCCGACGUAACCCAACUCAAAUGGAAUAGUAAGUCGCAUGGAUAUAGGAACGGAUUACGGUAUUUGUUGACACCUCAGCGUUUGAAAAACGAAUAGCUUUUCAUAAACAUAAUUCAGAAAC